rnacentral:pre_miRNA from 1 species
UGGGGGAGGCCGGAUCCUGGGCUGUGUCCCGGCGCCCAGUGCUCCGGAUCCUGUGCUAUGGAUUCGCGCUCCCGCCGCCUAGCCCCCU